UUUAUUGAGAGUUUGAUCCUGGCUCAGGAUGAACGCUGGCGGCGUGGAUAAGGCAUGCAAGUCGAGUGGGUUUAGACCCACGGCAAACGGGUUCGGAUAACAUAGGAAUCUACCCUUGAGUCGUGAAUAAUUCGGAGAAAUCCGGAAUAAUACACGAUAUUCUCUACGGAGGAAAGAUUUAUCUCUCAAGGAGGAGCCUGUGUCCUAUCAGCUUGUUGGUAAGGUAACGGCUUACCAAGGCAAUGACGGGUAGGGGGUGUGAGAGCAUGACCCCCAACAUUGGAACUGAGACACUGUCCAAACACCUNNNNNNNNNNNNNGACACUGUCCAAACACCUACGGGUGGCUGCAGUCGAGAAUAUUCCACAAUGGGCGAAAGCCUGAUGGAGCGACGCCGCGUGCGGGAUGAAGGCCUUAGGGUCGUAAACCGCUUUUCUUAGGGAGCAAUUUCGAUGAGAGUACCUAAGGAAUAAGAGGCUACUAACUCUGUGCCAGCAGUAGCGGUAAUACAGAGGCCUCAAGCGUUAUCCGGAUUUAUUGGGCGUAAAGCGUAGGUAGGUGGAUUGAUUAGUCAGAUGUUAAAGCCCGGGGCUCAACCCCGGACCAGCAUUUGAAACGGUCAGUCUAGAGAAUGUGAGAGAUUAGUGGAAUUUAUGGUGUAGUAGUGAAAUGCGUUGAUAUCAUAAGGAACACCCAAGGCGAAGGCAACUAAUUGGCACAUUUCUGACACUGAGCUACGAAAGCGUGGGGAGCGAAUAGGAUUAGAUACCCUAGUAGUCCACGCCGUAAACGAUGCAUACUAGGUGCAGGGAGAAUCGACCCUUUCUGUGCCGUAGCUAACGCGUUAAGUAUGCCGCCUGGGA
rnacentral:ncRNA from 1 species